GGUUGUCCGGCUUAGUAUUUAUCUUUUGCAGUUUUUUGUUAAUUCUUCUUUGCAGAGAUUUUCUUUUUCACCAUGAGCUUUUACACUUCUAUAUUGAGAAGAAACUCCACUUUUUUAUGUUUCUUUGUCGCGACGAGUCUAAUUGCGGAACAAAUAUUUGUCACACAAACUGAUAAAUUUUUCGACUGGUAUAAUAAGGGGCGCCAGUUUAAUGAUUUGGUGAAAAAGCUG